rnacentral:rRNA from 1 species
UACGUAGGUGGCAAGCGUUGUCCGGAUUUACUGGGCGUAAAGGGCGUGCAGGCGGUUUGUUAAGUCUAGGGUGAAAGCUCCCGGCUCAACUGGGAGAGGUCCUUGGAUACUGGCGAACUUGAGGGAUGCAGAGGAAAGUGGAAUUCCCGGUGUAGAGGUGAAAUUCGUAGAUAUCGGGUGGAACACCUGUGGCGAAGGCGGCCAUCUGGACGUCAACUGACGCUGAGACGCGAAAGCGUGGGUAGCAAACAGG